UCCGUACAAGCCCUCACCACAUAUUUUAAACCGGGUCCGUAGGACAAUAUCACUUUAACGAUAGAACGUUCUAUCUAGAUAUGGACAUGAUGAUACAAUGUCUCAUGUGUGUCAUAAUUUAAAAAGUAUGAUUUAAAUCAUCAUAUAACCUAUUUCUAUUUGUAAAAUAAUUGUUUGAUUUAUAUUUACAGAGAAUGAUUGUCACUGUAUACUUACUUUUAACUUUAACACUUUGUGAACCACACUUCUUUAUGGUGUGACGUCAUUGGUCCCAACAGAUGAAAAACAGGUGAGGUGAGGUGAGAUGGUGAUUAAGUAAGUGAUACAUGCAAGCACUGACAGAGAUGAUAUCUUUGAAAAAAAAAAGCACCCUGGUAAGUAUUCCACUUUUAGAGCUUCUGUUUAUAUUUAUCUUAUCCAAACACAUAGUUAUAAUUGUUUUACUAACCUGUAAUCAGUUGAAAUUUAAUUGUCCUUGCAUUUUAAAAACUGGUGGAACUGAACUUUUGCGUUAUGCUCGGAGGUAACAAGUAUAUAGUAGCUGAUUCUUGAAAUAUAUACAUGUUUAUCACUAUUAAAUCAAAAAUAAUAAAAAAAAAAAUAAAUACAUAAUCAAAACAUGAAGAAUUAAGGGCCUCAUUGUAAAUUGUAUAGAUGUAAUGAAAAUGAUUUCACAGUUAGAGACUGGCAUGUCUCCCACCAUUGAAAAUCAGGGAAAUAUUUUAAAGAAAUAUAUCAGUGUUAACAACAUGAACAAGGUUGUAAAAAAGGUAUCAUGAAAUGGGAUAUCUGUAAAAUUUAUUGUUGGAAUAUGGGCCAUUGGGGAAAUUAUUUCUUUUUGUAAUCAGAUCACAUGAACUUAAUUUUUCUUAAAAUCCCAUGUGUCUAGCUCUUCUUCUUCAUCUUCAGAAAAAUCUAUAUCUAUAAGUUUUGAAUUUUGAAAAUUGAUAAUAGAUGAACAUAUUUUGAAAAACCAUUUUUCUGCAAGAAAGCUUUCUGGAUGGACCCCAUCAUAAAAAUUGUCAUAUACAUAUUUUGACAGUCUUUUUCUGCAUUUUCCAUUUCUUCCCCCUUUUUUAAUUGAAAUUUUUGUUACGUCUUUGUCAAGGCGUAUACUAGAACUAUUAUAGUUUGUACUGUAUUCAGAUAUUUUGUCAUUGAUAAAUCUAAUAUCAUUUUCAAGGGCUUCCUGUUGAGCUGCAGUUUGAUUUGGUGAAUAUAUACUUGUCUUUAGUUUUCCUCUUGUACCCUGAUAUUCUUUAAAUUUCUUUAUAGAUACAGGGGGAAUAGUAGCAAAUUGAACAGUGGAAGAUGUUGCAAGAGAGAUUUGAUGAAAUGAUUUUUCAAUAUUGUAAAGCAGUGUUUGAACUUUGUCUGAAGAAUGUUGGUAAACAAUUUCAGUUCCAGAUUGAUGUUUAAGUUUCUCGGUUAAGUUGCAUAUUCCUCCCAUGAAAACCACAUGACAUGGUGCAGUUUUAUCAGAUGAAGAUUUGAUUAAACGUUGAGUCUCAUGAGUUAAUUUUUCAAUUGAUGCCCCAGGUUUGAAAAGGAUAGACACUUGCCAAUGAAGUGGGAAAGGCUGCACUCUCUCAAGGAACUAUGGGAACAAGUUUUGGAGCAGAUGAUAUAAAUGGGGGACCACUAUAGCUAGAUUGCUCCAUUGAAACUGUUGUAACCAUACAGCCUGAGAUGGUGUAACUGUAUAUUGGCGUAGAUUGGAGAGGACAUCUUUAAGCUCUUUUUCUUGUUCUCCUUGACGGAUAAUUGUAUUUAAUGCAACAGCUGUUUUAAAAUCCUGCCAGACAAGGACACCAUGCAUAGAUGCUGGUGAUGUAUUUUUAGAAUGGUAAACAGGGUUAUCUAGAACUGGUGGAAGUUGGACGUCAUCACCUAAGAAAACAACUACUGGGAGACCUCCCCAACUCUGAUCAGAAAUGCCAGUGCCACAUCUACUGUGAAACUCCAUCCACCCAAGUGUUGUUGAACCAAUCAGUGAUCUUUCAUCAACUAGAAUAACAUGAAGAUCAGAAAAAUUCUCCUGGAGGCUUUCCCCGAUAGAACCCUCUGGUGCUUUCAUUUCUCUUCCUCUGAACUGGAUCCACCUGGGGUAUAUUUAAAGAUUGAUCUAUAUUGGCAGCUUUCGUAAUGUUGUCCCACCAUUCUGCACCGAAGUCAGCAGGGUAAUCAUUGGACGUUUUACUCCAGUCAUGGUCAGGGCCACCAUCAUCAAAAUGAAAAUCUACAGACAACUCAUCAAAAUAUGGAUUUGGACGUAUAGCUUCUAUCCAGUCAGAUUGUUCAAGUACCCGACACCCUGAUAGACUAACUGAUUGAAAGCAGUGACUGGAUCUAUACAGAGGAAUAGAAGAAAGUUCAUAACAUGCUUCAACAGAGGAAAUGUCCCUUUUUACUGUUUCCAUUAAAAGUUUAGUACAAAUUGAUUUACCAGUUAUACCAGAAGAUUCAUCUGCACAGUUAACCAUAUCAGAGAAGAGAUCUGAGAGAGCACCAGUGGGUUCAUUUCCCUUGCAGGCAUAACCUGUAAUAUAUCUUUCAGUUGCAAUAAUUUCAUCAACUGAUGGAUUGGAAGGAUCACUUUUGGAAAGAAUUAGUGAAAUAUCACCGUUGGCUCUCCAGCCUUGUGUAUGAAAGCGAGAGUGUUGAACAAGUACUGGAUGAUCUCUUUCCAUUUCUAAGCGAUGGGAUCCAUUUCGAUCCUUUACUAUUGCUGGUGAUGAACGUAAUUGUUUUGGAAACUCCAUUCUACAACUUUUUUGUGAAUUAUUUGGUCGUAAUUGUCGUAGGCAGUAAUCGGAACAACGAUGCAGAUUAAAUCUAUUGGUUAAAAGCAAGUGAUCUUCCAGAAGGCUUUCUUGGGAAAUACUAACAUCCAGGAGAAGUUUAAAAAGAGGGUUAUUUUCUUCAGGAGGAGGAGGAGCAUUACCUUCAGGUGGAGGCCACAAAUUUCUGUUUGGAUUACCACUUUCAUCCUUACCAGCAGGAUGAGAAGCAGUCAUACCAAAAUUUUCAGCUGCCCAUUGAGAAAGUUUCACAGCACAUUGUUCAUCAGAUAGACCAGCUGAAAUAGCAUUGUGUAUUAAUUCAUGAGGCUCUCUAUCUGACCUCCAACAAAGGCCGUGCCAGUGGACCAUACCUCUGGAUUUGGCAAACUCUUGCCUGUACCAGUAGGAGUCAACACCAAAGACGGGUCCCAUUACAUUUUUGAAGUAUGACUGAGUUCUGAGAUCAAAAUAAUGUGCAACUAUAUGAGCAUUUUCCUGAAGAGUUUUGAAAAGGAUAUUUUUGUCUGUUAGAUCUACAGAUAAACCAGUUGUCUCUGAAACAUACAUUGAAAGCAAACGUUUAAGAGGUUUAAAGUGAAAUUCUGCACAACUGCCAGUAGUGAAAAAUGAGGGCAGACCUGCACCUUCAUUUAUUUUAUAUUGCACUAAUGCUCUUAAUUCUUUCCCCCUUUGUUCCCAGUACUGAGAUGUCCCUCUUAAAUUUCCCCCAAAAUAGAGAAUUUUUUGGCAAAUUGAAGUGUCACCAUUUUCAAUUAAUUUUUUCAACUCGUUUAUAGUAAAUUGCUGAUCACCAAGUUUCUGUUUAAUAAUGAAACUACUUUGUUCAAGCGCCCUUUUUCUCAUUAUCAUGUUAUGAACAACAAAUUUAAAGUAUGGAUGUUUUGCAAACCUUCCAUCACUGUACCAUAUUAAAUGUUCAGCCCACAGUCCCAUAGAAGAUAAUGUAAUAGGCCUGUUGACAAAAAAGUCUCCAGAGCCAUAGGGAAAAAGAGCAGGAAAGGCAAGGGUAAAGAAGUGUUGUGUUGUAAAUUCAGAUACAGGGAUGUUGUCUCUUGUAGGCCAAGGAAUGGUGAUGGUGCCCAGUCUGUUCAUAGUAACUCCCCCAUGGUUUUCACCAAUUAUUUCAGUAACAAUUUUCUCUACCUUUUCUCGUAUGUGUAUAUUUGAAUCUGGUAGUUGAGCACCAGAAUGUGUAAAGCCCUGAGAAACCCCAAUGUCUGUCUGAUCAAGUGAUGGACCUUUAUCAUUUUUGUGGACAGUAUUUUCUUUGAAUUCUAAUGUAACAAUGUCGGUUAAUUGUCCAUCUUCAGGAAUUGAUUGCAACCUUUCAUUACUAAUAAUGAUGUCAGAGUAUGCAGGAUUAUUUUUCUUAAGCCAUUUUAAGGACUGUUCAAUUUUUAAACGCCGGACUCGAAAUUCUUUGGAGGUAUCAUUUUUGCCUUUUUUUCUAACUUUUAUUAUUUGUAUUUCAGGGGGCAAUCUAGGAAAAAUUUUUGCUGGUUCAUUGAUUUCUUGGGGGAAAGUGACACAAUGACCUGAAGAUGCAAUACCACCAUGAUUUAGCAUGUGGACAUUAAUGCAUGGAGUAAUUCUACUGAUUAGUUGUUGUUCUACAAUUGUAAGAUCUUUUAGUUCCUCAGGUAAUUUACCUGGGUCCAUAUUGUUUUCUUUUGAGUAUAAUUUUAUAUUUUGCUUAUCUCUAUAACAACGCGUACAAAUUUCACUUGUGGCCAUUUUCAUAUCUAGUCUCCUUUCAUUAUAUAUUGUACAAAG